rnacentral:rRNA from 1 species
GACGAACGCUGGCGGCGUGCUUAACACAUGCAAGUCGAACGGAAAGGCCCUGCUUUUGUGGGGUGCUCGAGUGGCGAACGGGUGAGUAACACGUGAGUAACCUGCCCUUGACUUUGGGAUAACUUCAGGAAACUGGGGCUAAUACCGGAUAGGAGCUCCUGCUGCAUGGUGGGGGUUGGAAAGUUUCGGCGGUUGGGGAUGGACUCGCGGCUUAUCAGCUUGUUGGUUGGGUAGUGGCUUACCAAGGCUUUGACGGGUAGCCGGCCUGAGAGGGUGACCGGCGACAUGGGGACUAAGAGACGGCCCAGACGCGUACGGGGGGCAGCAGUGGGGAGUAUGGCACAGUGGGCGGAAGCCUGAGGCAGCAACGCCGCGUGCGGGAUGACGGCCUUCGGGUUGUAAACCGCUUUCGCCUGUGACGAAGCGGGAGUGACGGUAAUGGGUAAAGAAGCACCGGCUAACUACGUG